rnacentral:rRNA from 1 species
AUUGAACGCUGGCGGCAGGCCUAACACAUGCAAGUCGAGCGAGCGGCGGACGGGUGAGUAAUGUAUGGGGACUGCCCGCUAGAGGGGGAUAACUCCUGGAAACGGUGGCUAAUACCGCAUACUAUCGGAUAACCCAUAUGGGAUUAGCUAGUAGGUGGGGUAAAGGCGCACCUAGGCGACGAUCUCUAGCUGGUCUGAGAGGAUGUUCAGCCACACGGGGACUGAGACACGGCCCAGACUCCGAGGGGGGCAGAGGGGGGGAAUAGUGCAAAAUGGGCGCAAGCCUGAUGCAGCCAUGCCGGGUGGAUGAAGAAGGCCUUAGGGUUGUAAAGUACUUUCAGCGGGGAGGCGUUACCCGCAGAAGAAGCACCGGCUAACUCCGUGCCAGCAGCCGCGGUAAUC